AUACGGAGGAUGCAAGCGUUAUCCGGAUUUAUUGGGUUUAAAGGGUGUGUAGGCGGAUGAUUAAGCGUGAGGUGAAAUGCCACUGCUCAACAGUGGAACUGCCUCGCGAACUGGUUGUCUUGAAUGCUCCUGCCGUGGGAGGAAUGUGUGGUGUAGCGGUGAAAUGCAUAGAGAUCACACAGAACACCGAUUGCGAAGGCAUCUCACGAAGGGGUGAUUGACGCUGAGGCACGAAAGCGUGGGGAUCAAACAGGAUUAGAUACCCUGGUAGUCCACGCAGUAAACGAUGAUAACUAACCGCUGGGUCGUAGUGAUUCAGUGGCCAAGCGAAAGCGAUAAGUUAUCCACCUGGGGAGUACGACCGCAAGGUUGAAACUCAAAUGAAUUGACGGGG
rnacentral:rRNA from 1 species